UAUUUUCUUUAUGCUGUUAACCUUAGGCGAGGAGACUGGGGGAUCUUCAUUUAUAUUUUAAAAUUUGAUUCACUCUGCAGUUUGUCUUCUGUCUAUGUAUCCUUUUGAGAAACCGUUUAUGAGUGAUCAUUCUUCCAUCAGAUUGAACAGGAUCCAGGGGGAAGUACCAAGCCUGUCCCAUCGGCCAUCCUGUGUGUCAUGUCCUGUGACCCAUUGGAUGCUCAGCACCCUCCAGCUGAAGAAACAGAUUGCCUUAGAUACAUGAACGGUGAAGACACCUACUAUCCCCAUGGAGCCCAGUUGGGGCUGGGAGUCUGCUGUUUGUACUGCCAGUGGGCUCGUGUUGCUUUGGGCAUCCCUGUGCCUGAAUUCCUGCAGUACACUCGGUGUGCAUUCCAUGGUGCAUUCUCGCCUAGAAUUGAGUGGAAGCAAGUCCAUCUCAGAAGGAACAUAACUGAAGAGGGAUGGCUUCCCAGACUCUGAGGGGCAGAGAGAGCACCAGCCUGGGUGAGAGCAU